rnacentral:misc_RNA from 1 species
UUGACAUACGUCAAACCACUCUCUCUCUCUGUCCACCGGCCAAUGGAGGUGUGUACCAUGGUCCAUCUCCCACACAUACCCAAAGUCCCCCCCAAGUCCUCGAGUCGUGCGCACGCUCGGUCCACUUGGUUUCAAGACAUCUUGGACUCUUUUUUUAUGAUUCUCUAUUUCUCCCCCCCUAUUUUCUCUCCCCCUAUAUUGUUAUCCCUCCUUGCCCCUCUCUUGUCUUGCUCACCCCCUCGCCCCUCGAGAGAAGAAUUCCCCCGCACGGCCCAUCACCUCCACCCACGUCCCACCGUCCCACCCCCUUAUGACCAUGCGCCACGCACUCUCUCCC